GACGAACGCUGGCGGCGUGCCUAAUACAUGCAAGUAGAACGCACAGUUUAUACCGUAGCUUGCUACACCAUAGACUGUGAGUUGCGAACGGGUGAGUAACGCGUAGGUAACCUGCCUGGUAGCGGGGGAUAACUAUUGGAAACGAUAGCUAAUACCGCAUAAUAUUAAUUAUUGCAUGAUAAUUAAUUGAAAGGUGCAAUUGCACCACUACCAGAUGGACCUGCGUUGUAUUAGCUAGUAGGUGAGGUAACGGCUCACCUAGGCGACGAUACAUAGCCGACCUGAGAGGGUGAUCGGCCACACUGGGACUGAGACACGGCCCAGACUCCUACGGGAGGCAGCAGUAGGGAAUCUUCGGCAAUGGACGAAAGUCUGACCGAGCAACGCCGCGUGAGUGAAGAAGGGUGUCGGAUCGUAAAGCUCGGUUGUAAGAGAAGAACGGGUGUGAGAGUGGAAAGUUCACACUGUGACGGUAUCUUACCAGAAAGGGACGGCUAACUACGUG
rnacentral:rRNA from 1 species